rnacentral:rRNA from 1 species
GACAGAGGGUGCAAGCGUUGUUCGGAAUCAUUGGGCGUAAAGGGCGCGUAGGCGGCAUUGUAAGUCUGAUGUGAAAUCCCAGGGCUCAACCCUGGAAGUGCAUCAGAUACUGCUUUGCUUGAGUUUCGGAGAGGGUGGUGGAAUUCCCAGUGUAGAGGUGAAAUUCGUAGAUAUUGGGAGGAACACCGGUGGCGAAGGCGACCACCUGGACGAAUACUGACGCUGAGGCGCGAAAGCGUGGGGAUCAAACAGG